AUUGCCCUAGUAACGGCGAGUGAAGCGGCAACAGCUCAAAUUUGAAAUCUGGCGCAAGCCCGAGUUGUAAUUUGUAGAGGAUGCUUCGGGGCAGCGGCCGGUCUAAGCUCCUUGGAACAGGACGUCAUAGAGGGUGAGAAUCCCGUAUGCGACCGGCUGGCACCCCACACGUAGCUCCUUCGACGAGUCGAGUUGUUUGGGAAUGCAGCUCUAAAUGGGAGGUAAAUUCCUUCUAAAGCUAAAUACCGGCCAGAGACCGAUAGCGCACAAGUAGAGUGAUCGAAAGAUGAAAAGCACUUUGGAAAGAGAGUUAAAAAGCACGUGAAAUUGUUGAAAGGGAAGCGCAAGCAACCAGACUUGUCGGCGGUGUUCCGCCGGUCUUCUGACCGGUCUACUCGCCGCCGGCAGGCCAACAUCACCUGGGGCCGCCGGAUAAAGGUGUCGGGAAUGUAGCUCCCCUCGGGGAGUGUUAUAGCCCGGCGCACAAUACGGUGCGCCCCGAGUGAGGUCCGCGCUUCGGCUAGGAUGUUGGCGUAAUGGUCGUUUGCGGCCCGUCUUGAAACACGGACCAAGGAGUCUACCAUCUAUGCGAGUGUUCGGGUGUCAAACCCCUACGCGGAAUGAAAGUGAACGGAGGUGGGAACUUUAUUGUGCACCAUCGACCGAUCCUGAUGUCUUCGGAUGGAUUUGAGUAAGA
rnacentral:rRNA from 1 species